UUAGAAGUCACCUUAAAAUUAAUGGAGGCCGCUUAUAGGUUGAAGGGAGGCAGCGGCGCAGGCAGCACGCGUGCGCGAGGGGGGACCCAAGGUCGCAGGUUCGAUCCGCAAGGGAGGCUUGCGAGCGUUGGAGAAAUUGGCUGGUUUUUAAUCAGCCUAAGGCGCCAAAAUGGCGCCAUUUUAAUAAGGCGGUGGGGGCGACGUGGCAGUAGCAGGGCGCACCACAUGGCGGCCCCUGGGCCGCCCAUUGCGCCUUGCGCUUCAAGCAGCGUUUUGCUGCGAUUUUAAAGGCUAAAUUUGGCCAUUUUCAGGCCAAAUCAAGAGGAAGGGGAGAGGAAUUAUGGGAGAAGAAGAUGGAGCUCGACCAACAGAAAAAUGGAGGAAAAAGUGGGAAGAAAUGGGAGGAAAUCCUGGAUUUUGCGGCUAUUUGGUGUCUAAAAGUAUCCCGAACAUUUUACUUUGCAUCGGGAGCGUAGAAAAGGCAAGAAUCGACCAAGUAAGAGGAUAGUUGGGGCUGACAGGUACGCUCGGCAAAGUUGGGUCCAUAUCAUCGAGUCAAGAUAGCAAGUGUAGAGUUUUCCUCGAAACUAGAUCCUGGGUGUCGUGUGUCUGGGUCAGAAUAAUGCUUUUAUGUUUUCAAGUCAGGUGUAUGUUAUGUAAGCCCAAGUGGGCUCAUGUUGUGAAUGAUUAUGUAAUGACGAUUAUGAGAUGUUAUAUAAAAGAAAGGUCAUGGUUUUAAUAAGGGUUGUGUGUGAGUUGUAGUUGUAUUAUUAUUUGGUAUCAUUUAAGUAAUAACUCUCUCACGGAUCCUCUUGAUGCACGGGGGCUCCGGGAGGCGGGCCGUUACAUUGAGUGUCUAUGUUAUUCCACUUCAGUAGAGAUAUGAAUGCAUCAUUCAAUAGAUUAUGUGGGUGAUUUUUCAGUUUUAAAU